rnacentral:misc_RNA from 1 species
GGAGUAAAAGUCGUAACAAGGUAUCCGUAGGGGAACCUGCGGAUGGAUCAUUAACAUUAUUAUCCUUAUUAUUAUAACUACUUAACUGUUGAAGUUUUGUUAUUCUUUUUUACAAAAGAACAACAUACUUUUUAACCAUAAACUUUCUCAUUAUCUAAUUCUUUAUACUUUUGUACUCUUUGUACAACAGUAUUUAAUUGUUUAAAUGUGAAACAACUUUUAACAAUGGAUAUCUUGGUUCUC